GCACCUACUUGGCAGGGGAGAUACCAUGAUCAACAAAGUGGUUUUCCCAUGGUGAGGCCUGUCCCUUGCACUCUGGGCAGGCUGGGAAAAAUCAGCUGCACAAUUUUGUGGUAAGGGAAGACUGCGUUUGUGCUUUCCGCUG
rfam:Alligator sinensis unplaced genomic scaffold scaffold31_1, whole genome shotgun sequence